rnacentral:lncRNA from 1 species
GAACAGCACCGGGUAGUUAUCGAAGCACCUUUCACACACCCCCGCAAAGGAUUCAACCUGUCGUCCCACACGCACCACUUCGGCAACGUAUCGCACGUAUUCCAGAACUCGCGGCGGGGGUGGCAAUAAUCCAAAGACGACUCGACUUCGACGAUCCUACGUUCGAUGAAACGGAACCUGAUUACGGAACGAGCCAACCUUCCUAUUCUAUGGGACGAAAUCUAUCGCGAGGGACAAGAACGACACCUUGUAUGAAAUGUUCCAAAGUAAUUA